CCUCCACAGAGUUGCUUCCCUUAAGCCCGGUGUCCCUUGCUUCCUCAGCGCCUCCAGCUCUCCCUGCCAUCUUGCUGCCUGAAUCAGUCUCUUCCGGUUCCUGUGUUGCUCUUUUGCCUGCCCCACAUCUCAUUUUAUCCUGGACCUCCAGCUGACUCCCCCUCCCUCUCCUGAAACACCAGGUGAAGAAGGAGCCCUGUGGAGUUCUUUGCAAUACAGGACUGUUCAUCAGCUUAGCAGUGCAAAUGGGGCCAAAAGAAGCCUUGCCACUGAUCUGGUUUCUGUGGUAUAGUAUUUGCCAUGUCAUUCAACCAUGAUGCCUUUUAUUGUAUCUACAGCACCUGGGAUUCCAAGAGGGUUUCCUUUCCCUAUACUAGCCAAGCCUAGGACUGCUGAGACACAUAAAUAAAUACCUGUGUAAAAAUCUGUACUUAUUUAAACUGUAGUGGUAGCCAUGCUAAAAUGAACAUAACCAUGCAAAUCUAAUUGCACAGUUAAUACCUUUAUUAUUUAUACAAGCAUAUCCAGGGUGAGCAGGAUCCUUCCAGAAGCCUGAACAGAGUUAAAUGGAGGUAAGAGCAGCUUUAAAGUGCAGCCAUUUUCCCUAAGGUAUCACCAACGGAGACUUCCAGGCACCUUAGACACUGCCUCUCUCUUUCUAGCCACCAACUUCCAUCUUGGGAACUGUACUGUUGCUGCU